GGCACGCGAGCUGGGUUCAGAACGUCGUGAGACAGUUCGGUCCCUAUCCGUCGUGGGCGUAGGAAAAUUGAAGAGAUCUGUCCUUAGUACGAGAGGACCGGGACGGACCUACCUCUGGUGUAUCUGUUGUCACGCCAGUGGCAGCGCAGAGUAGCUAUGUAGGGAAUGGAUAACCGCUGAAAGCAUCUAAGCGGGAAGCCAACUUUAAGAUGAGUUUUCCCAUUAUUAAUUAAGUAAGAUCCCUCAAAGACGAUGAGGUUGAUAGGCUGGAGAUGGAAGCGUAGCGAUACGUUGAGUUGACCAGUACUAAUCGAUCGAGGAUUUAAUCAU
rnacentral:rRNA from 1 species